UUGUAUCUAGAUAACCACAUCUCCUUUAUCCAGUCAUCUGUCAGUGGACAUUUAGGUUGCUUCCAUGUCUUGGCUAUGGUAAAUAGCAAUCACAAAAAUUUUUAAUGUAAUUCUAAAAUCUCUGAAUUGUUUCCUCACAGAUGGUGAGUUCUUUGGGACGCUUUACCUGCUACAGAACAGUGUUUGUCAACAAGUAACAGGGACUGGCCCUGCGUUUCCCAGAGAGACUUAUGAUUCUUGGGGCACCUUCCCUCCAUUUCAUGUAGGGUCACCAGGGAGAAGGUGUCUAAGAAAGAAGAGUGGAAGGACUGUCUUGAUUCUCAGGAGCGGUCUUACCCCCACUGCCCAGUGUGCUGGGCACAGCCUGAGCAUCAGACCUGGGAGCAUCUUCAGCAAGGCGGCUGCUGAGGCAAAGAAGGCGUUUCUGCACAGAGCUUUAAGACUUUUCUACAAUGAACACUACAUAUGGAGCAAGAAGGCAAAUGGUACUUUUACAACCUGAUAUUACCAACGACUCUUCUUUUUCAAA